AACGUAGGGGACAAGCGUUAUCCGGAUUUACUGGGCGUAAAGCGCCCGUAGGCGGCCUGACAAGUUGGACGUGAAAGCUCCUGGCUUAACUGGGAGAGGCCGUUCAAAACUGUCAAGCUAGAGUCUGGAAGAGGAGAGCGGAAUCCCGGUGUAGUGGUGGAAUGCGUAGAGAUCGGGAGGAACACCAAUGGCGAAGGCAGCUCGCUGGGACGUGACUGACGCUGAGACGGCGAAAGCGUGGGGAGCAAACAGG
rnacentral:rRNA from 1 species